GAUGACCAUCAGAACUUGUAAAUCACGUGACCUUGUUCGGCCUGGUUGUUAUGUGGACAUGUGACAUCACAACCUGCAUGAAUGAGGGCAUGUGGUUCAAUUCUUUCGACGUAUUCCAU
rnacentral:pre_miRNA from 10 species